rnacentral:misc_RNA from 1 species
GAAAUGCGAUAAGUAAUGUGAAUUGCAGAAUUCAGUGAAUCAUCGAAUCUUUGAACGCACAUUGCGCCCGCCAGUAUUCUGGCGGGCAUGCCUGUUCGAGCGUCAUUUCAACCAUCAAGCCCCGGGCUUGUGUUGGGGACCUGCGGCUGCCGCAGGCCCUGAAAACCAGUGGCGGGCUCGCGGUCACACCGAGCGUAGUAGAUUCUCAUCUCGCUCAGGGCGUGCUGCGGGUUCCGGCCGUAAAACAGCCUUAUUUUACCCAAGGUUGACCUCGGAUCAGGUAGGAAGACCCGCUGAACUUAAGC